rnacentral:lncRNA from 1 species
AUGCGGACUACACAGUGAAAUAAAGGGAAAGUCCUUCUCAAGCCACAACUGAGCCCAUGUCUUCUGGCAGCACCUGAGAGUUCUAAAGAGACAGGGGCCCAGAAGAGAAGCGCAGCUCAUCCUUCAUGUGACUAUUUAAGCUUGAACCAGGAAGGGUGACAACUGCAGGGGUGGCCACUGAGUUCCAUGGAUGGAAGCAGCACUGGGUCAUUGCUGUGGGACCCAGGAGAUGCUGGAAUUUCUUGGCCCUCUGUUGGACCCAAGCGCUGGCUUCUGCUUUCUGCCAGAACAAAACUUCUACUUCCCACCACUCUGCAGAGUCCCCAAGGCCGCCCUGGGCCAGAUGCUCCCCCAGAUGGUGAGCACAGGUGGACGGGGGCCACACCUGGCCAUGAGCUUCCAAUCAAGGACUGGGGACCAAGACAGGGGCCACGCAGCCGGGAGGCUCCAUCGCUCUGGAAGUCAUGGCAGGAGGGACAGUUGGUUAGAAGAACUUGAACUGGAAGCAAGCGAGACUGCAGGGGCAGCAAGGAGGGCUGCAGAGCUGCCAAGAGGAACAUACAAUCCCAGUAUCUUCCCUGCAGCAUUCAGGGAGCUCAGAACAAAUUAGGUGGUGUCGUAUAAUGUCAUCCACGGAUCUCGGGGCCCUCCAGCUUCUGUCAGUGUUUGGGGGACUGGGGUGAUUUGCCAAUUGCGUGCUACAGUAGAAUGAAGAGGAAAUGGAAUUGCUAACAGCACUGAACAUUUUCUCCCAAGCCCUGACUUUGUCCUAUCUCCUGGGUAAGUGGCCUCUUUGGCAAGCAGCCCUUUCCCAUAAGGAAUCACCUGGACAGAAUCACCUGAGAUGCAAGAGAGAGUCUGGAAUACUUGAGAAGGUGACGUAUAUUACAAAGUAUGAAGUGGAUGCAGGACAGUA